CAACAGCUCAGAUUCAGUCUUUCACUUUUAAUCCUUAGAGACCCAAACCCUACUCAUUCUCAACCCUACCCGGCCGCCUCUCUUUCUCUCAUCCCUAUCAACACCGUCAAUCACAAAUCAUUGCACAAUGUUGUCCAAGGUUACAGAUUCAAACCCCAAAUCACUCAAUCUAUCCCCUAAUCCACGAAUCUAGAUGAUUAUUUCUAUUAUCAUCACUACAUUUCAAAUCCCCCAAAUCAAAACCUAGACCUAAAAAUUCUAUAGAAAAUCGCUUAUUCUUCCUUCGGCCUUCCAAAUUCAUGGCAUGCAUGGUUGUUUAUCUCCUAUUUCAUCAUUGUUAUUCUUUAUCCAGAGGUCAAACGCAUUGAACUCUGGAUAUUAGGGCUUGACCGGUAGUCCAAAGGCUCCAACGAUUGACCCUCGUGCCCAGGUAAUCUCGGUGGUAUUUUCACCUCUAUUUGCUAUCAUCACUCGUCUGUCGUCACUUCCUACUACCAAUUUGAAUUCAAUCGGAACCCUGAGGCUUGAAAGUCAGUAUAAAUAGGGCCUUAAAUUUUCUCACCUACCAGACAUCAAUACACCUAACAACAACUAAAAAUACGAAAGAGCAUUAAAGAUUUUCUGCUAAGUUUACGUCUACUAGCUCAUUUCUAAUUUCUUUUUAUUCUUUUCAUCCCUGUUCGAGUUCGACCUAUGUGGGUUGCUCGUUGUUGGUUUUGGGUUCUUAAACAACUAACAAUCGAUUCCUACUUGGUUUGCUGCUCUACAGAAGGUCACUGUACACUGACCCUUUCUCUAUGUUUAAUUAAUUAUGCAAUUUUGUGUUUAUGAUAUUUUCUUUGUUGAUUACCCUUUGUUUAUGACAUACAUCAAUGGUUUGUGACUGUACUUGUCGUGUCCUGCUCUUACAUGUCAUUUUCACUGAUUGAGCUGAUAAUUUUCUGAUAAAUUAUGUUGUUUUGGUAUGCUAGUCAGUCUAUGAUGUUAAUGAAUUCCAUCUCCCAUAACUUAGCUAGAUAAAAUAUGUUCCGUGAUGUUGAUACUCUUGUGGAUAAAUCAUGCUAAACCUCUCAUCAUAAGUUGAGCUAAAGUCCUUAUGUUGGUCCUAUAUGUGUUCCAUCCCAGUCAGUUAAAUGAUAAUUAUAUUUUCAUGUUAGCCAAAUCAAUCAAGUUUCUUCUGAUGUCCUGUUAAGACUUCACAUCUGUUACACUGUGCUGUACUGAUCCUUAGGUGUGUGAUGUUCUGCCAUAUUAUUUUAGUUUAAAGUAACAAUGAUCCUCAUUACAGCUCAUGUCUUGCAUUUGAAUCUGUCUGCUCUAAAGACCUUAGUUGACAGUCUUGUUGUUGAAAUUAUGUAUGUUAUGUGCACUUAAUGAUUCAUGGAAGGUUGUCAUUAUAAAAGAAAUCAUGUAAUGAACCUUGCUAAGUCAUGUUAAGAAAACUAUUCUCUAUUGAUUCCUGAACUUGACACUUGCACUUUCAUUGAGAUUUCUACUACUAUAUUAAGGACGUUUUGCACCUGAGUUUAUAUCUGCCAUGUUAAUCCCUGCUAUGUUCAUAAACUAUCUUAUGACUUUGGUUUGAGAGAUUAUAUAUUCACACUCAUAUGUUAACUCUUUUAUUUGCCCUGGUUUUGACUCUACUAUGGUGUUGCAUUUGGUUUGGGUUUGUAAGUAUUUCCCUUUAAGGGAUUUUGUUCCUAUUUACUUGUAAUGAUCUAUUCCAUAUGACUCCAAUUAUUAGUUUCUACUGUGACUUGGCCCCUACAUGUUUGUCAUGUUAACUUAUACACAAACCAUGUAUUGAACCCUGUUGACAUGCUAUGCUAGUAAACUUGCCUAAAUAUUUAGAUGACAGUCCAUUAUAACUUGUUAGGAUAAAGAUGAAUGCUAUUACCCACAGCCUUAUAGCCUCAUAAUGUCAUUUCCUGUAGGGACUCAACCUGAAUCUGCUUAAGUCUGACAUUUAGAAAUCUUGAUGAUUUUUGUGAUCAGUCCAUUUGUAUUGGGUAAGACUAAGAUUGAUUCUUUUCCUGUUUAAUGACUUUUUUGUCCUGGCUAAGUGUAUGCCCCUCUCAGAAAGUUCUAAAUGAAUAUCACUAGUUUAACUGUUAGAAGUCAUAAAUGUCCACUGUUCGGCUUUAGAAAUGCCAGAGAAUGGUCCUUAUGAUCUAAACUUACUUAGAAGGAUUCUGAAACAUUAAACCUACAGUGGAAUCAAUAGAACCUGUAUUUGAGCUUUUCUCUGUUAAGUAUUAUCCUAUUAACACCUUAAAUCUGAAAUCCCUAAGAGAUGAACAUGCCUACUGUUGCUAUUAUUUGGAUCCUCCUAAUCAAUACUAUGUCCUUAGUUGUUAUUAUUCCUUGAAGAUGAACUGCAAUGCCUUGUUUGUACACUGUUACCAAUCUUUAUGUGUGUAUUGAACUCUCAAAAUAUUACCAUGGCUCCUACACAUGUUGUUUGUGAGUUAACAGUAUUAAUUCAUUAUGCUAACCUUUUUAUUUAUGUUUAAGCCUCUGAGGAAGACUAGAAGUAGGUGGUUAGUUGUAUUUGAAUGUGAAACUUGUUAUGGUUGCGAUCCCUCUCCUUAACACAAGCAUUGCUCGGGGUCCUUGAGACCCUCAUGAACUCUGAUGUGCCAAGAGUUCAAAAAGGGGUCAUAUCCAUAAAUAAGGAUUUAUACCAAGCUCUUAACCACCAACUCCUAUUAAUCCUCAUAGGAUUAGCACAAAUAAAAUCUACUUCACUAUAGUCCCCAACUCUUCAUUACUAUUUAUAAUUUUAUCUUGUUUAGUUUCUUUGUAGAAUUGAUAUGAAUUAAUUAUUCUCUUUUCUUUGUAUGCAUUAAUUCAUCCUGGGCCUGUUGAGCCCAUUUGGAGCUCAAGUCCACCGUCAGAUCUGGGUCGUCACAUUCAUGUCGCGUCUGCUACUCGUGCAUAUAAUAUUGGGCCUGCUUAAGCACUUAGCCCAAAUCGCCAAGAGUCCAGCCUCUUUUCCCUUUCUUAUGCUUAAUUAAAUUCAUUGUUGUUUACCAUGUAUAUGUGAAUGACUAACGCUAUCAUUAGAUCUUUGAUAUCCCGAUUUUCUUUAGGAAGUCGAAAAGCCAAGGCCCAUAGGUAAAAGAAUCGAGAACCAUAAAUUAUGUUUGCUUUAAACCCUCUAACAUUUAAUCAUUUAUUAGUUUCAAAUAUAUAUUUUAACAAAUGGAGAACCUCAGCAUGUUGUUACUGACAGUUUUCAAUAAGAUUGGACUUUUUGACAGAUUCAAAAGCAAAACAAAUUCUCUUUGAAAAGAUUAGAAUCAAGAGAAUAAUUAUGAAGCUGAUUUUCAAGAAACAAAACUAAACAUAGCCUGUGAUUGCAAACUAAACUAACCUCAAUGAGUGUCAAAACACAAAAUCCGUUUGAAGUUGAUUUUCAAAAUAGGUAUGCCCAUCCCAAUUUAUGGUAUAUUUUCUAGUAAUCUCUUAUUUUACCAAGUUAUAUAUGAUAACCGCAUAUUCAAAAACACUCAAACUUUCUUUUAAAUAUAGAAGUCCUUCACAAGAUUUUUCUUUUCAACUUUAAGAGCAUAUACAAAAGAGGAUUUUCAUAGAUUAUAAAACCUUGAAAAAGCUAUAUCUUCUUUUCAAAGUACAUACACACCCCCAUCUCCCAAAAUAGUGGAUUUUAAAUAAGUCUUAGAAUACUUUACAUAUUUAGGCACUUGACUAAGUAGAGUAUAGACAUUUACAUCCCUGAACCUAACCUAAGCCUAAGGAGCUACCUUGGGUAGAUUUUAAGGGGUGUGUAACAACCCGACCGAUCAUUUUAUGUAUUUGCACUCCUUUGAUACUUCAGACAUGCAAUAUUUUUGAUUUAUUACUUACUGGGUUGAUUGAUUUCGUUCCGGGAAUGUUUCGAGUUGAUUUGGACGCUUUGGUUAUUGGUUUAAAAGCCAAAGUUAGAAAUGUUGACCAAAGUUUGUCUUUUAUGGAAACGACCCAGAACGGUAUUUUAAUGGCCCUGAUAGGUUAAUAUCAUGAUUUUGGACUUGGGCAUAUGCCCGGAAUGGAAUUCGGGGGUCCGUAGGUUGAUUUGUGUUAUUUUACCGAAAGUUGGCAAUUUGAGGUUUAGAAGAUUUUUCAAGUUUGACCGUAGGUUGACUUUUGGCUAUCGGGUUUGGAAUUUGGUUUUGGUACUUAGAAUAGGUCCAUUAUGCUAUUUAAAACUUUUCUGCAAAAUUUGGCGUCAUUUGGAGUAGAUUUGAUAGGAUUCGGACGCUUGGUUGCAAUUCUAGAGGUUCUUGAAUUUUUCUUUGAAAUUCAUGCGUUUUGAUGUCCAAUUCAUAGUUCUAUAUGUUAUUUUUGUAUUUUUAUCGCAGGAGCGAGUUCGUAUGAUAUUUUUAGACUUGUAUGAAUAUUUGGUUUGGAGCCUUGAGGGCUCAGAUGAGUUCCGGAUGCGUUUCAGAAGGUUUGGACUGAAAAUAGGAUUUCUAGUGUGCUGGUGUUGUAGUUGUCGCAACUACGAGCACCAGCAUCACAAUUGUGAACUUGGCAGGGGGUCUCUGGUAUCACAAUUGCGAUACCUAGUUCGCAUUUGCGAAGUCUAGGAUUGGGUAGUUAAGUUUGCAUUUGCGAUAAUUAUCUCGCAUUUGUGAGGAGGAGGACGGACUUUACAUUUGCGAAGUCUGUGUCGCAAUUGCGACAUCUCCUGUAUCUGUCAGUAUCUGCAUUUGCGAGGCUUUCUUCGCAAUUGUGAGGGUUUGCAAUUGCGAACCCAGUGACGCAAUUGCGAUAUCUGCAACUGAACAUAAGGGCUGGAAGGUCGGGAUUAAGUCUCAUUUUUCAUAUUUGAGAACCCUAGACUCGGUAGAAGGCAAUUUGAAGAGAGGAUUUUCAUCUACAAAUAUUGGGUAAGUGAUUCUAAUAAAUUUUUAACUAUACUUCAUGAUUAUAUCUUAGGUUUAACAUCAAAUGUAUGAGGAUCAAAGAGGAAAAUUAGGAAUUUUCUCAAAGUUAGGAAAAAUAAAGAUUUGAGUUUUGAGAGUCGAUUUGGACUCGGAUUUGAAAACAAAACACAUAUAUGCACUUGUGGGAUUAUGGGUAGUCGGAAUCUACCCUUGGACCCGAGUUUUGACCAAGUGAGCCCAGGAUUGAAUUUUAUUGUCUUUUUGAGAAAUGUGUAAAGAUCAUAGCUUUAUCUAUCGUAAUUGGUUUCCCUUGCAUUGUUUGAUGAUAAUAAGUCAUUUUUGUUUAGAUUUGAGCCAUAUGGAGGCGAAUUUUAGGGGAAAAGCUAUAUUCGAGGGUUGAUUUGGCAUAGUUGAGGUAAGUAUCUUGCCUAACUUUGUGGGGGGAGGGGGAGAGGGGAACUAUCCCUUAGGAUUUGGAUUGUUUGUGCUAAUUGUACUAUGUGAAAGACGUGUACACAAGGUGAGGAGUGUGUACAUGGGCUAUAUGUGGUGUUUUAACUGGUUUAGACUUUUAGACUUCUUCCAUGCAUCUACUUGAAUUUGUUAUAACAUGUUACAUCUUUUAUUGUUAAAUUUACUCUUACAUGGUCUAAUUGAUGUUGUUAGCAUUUGUUACACUCUUUAUUGUGGUAAUUGCUCGUAUAUGCUUAGUUGAAGUUGCUACCUUCCUUAUUGUCUUGUUACUCCAUUUUAUUAUUGAAAUACUCUUACUUAAAGUUGUUAUUUCGUGGAAUAUCUUCUUAUUGAGUUAUUGUUGUUGAUGUUGUGGAAGUCAAUAUCACAUUGAGGUUGAAGUUGGUAAUUGUUGAGAUAUCUUUCCUUGUUGAGUAUUCCUAAUUCAUUUUGUUGUUAUUGAGAUUCUUGUACACAUUGUGAUUGAGCCAUGGGCUAUAUGUUGUGAUAAUAUCGUAUUGUUGAUUUUGGCAAGUGUUGUGGCAUAUGGGCACAUAUGGUGCGAGUUGAUUAUUGUGUUGUGAUAUUAAUACACAUGCGGUGGUAUAAGGAUAGGGGUUGAUACGCAUGCGGUGAGAUAAGGUGGGAACUUAUACGCAUGUUGCUAGUAAGGGAGUUACUCGAAGCCACACGUUGAGAUAAGGGGGCUAAAAUGCGUGUAGCUAUUUCGGAAUAAAUGUUUCUAAAUAAAUGCAAGGUUCACGCGGUGAUAUAAAGAAAGAUUGUGAUUGAAAUUGUGAAACGAGAAUAUGAGGCGGUACCUCAGUUGUGAUUCUUGUUGUACAUUCCAUGCUUAAAGAGGCUUGUUGGUUGAACAAUUCUUGUUAUUUCGUUAAUUGUCUUACUUGUAAUUAUCCGUGAUUGACUACUUGUUGUUUCAUCAUGUGUUCACUACUUGUUGCCUUUACCCCCUUCAAUUUCCGUUGUUGGCGUACAUUAUUGAACUGCUUACCUGUCAAUUACUUUCUCACUUUCCAUUAUUAGAUUAUGCUAUAUUCUAUUCAGUUUUCUUAUCCUAGUAAGUGUCUUGACCUGGCCUCGUCACUAUCUACCAAGGUGUAAUAACCCGGCCGGUCGUUUAGAGAGUUGUAGCCUACUUCCCCAUUUACUGCUCUAUUUGUGCUUUAUAACUGUUAUAUGACUUAUCGGGUUAGUUAGUUUGGGUCCGGAGAGAAUUCAGGGUGAAUUGAGAUACUUAGUCUCUUAAUUGAAAGUUUAAGUUGGAAAAAUUGAUUGGAUGUCGACUUAUGUGUAAACGACAUCGAAUUUGAAUUGUGAUAGUUCUGUUAACUCCGUUGGGUGAUUCUUGACUUAGGAGCAUGUCCGGAUUGUGAUUUGGAAGUCGGAAGUAGAAUUAGGCUUGAAAUGGUGAAAGUUGGAAUUUUGGAAAUGUUUGACCAGUAGUGGACUUUUUAUAUCGGGGUCGUAUUCCGAUUCUGAAAGUUGCAAUAGGUUCGUGGGGUCAUUUAUGACUUGUGUGCAAAAUUUGAGGUCAAUAGGACGUGAUUUGAUAGGUUUCGGCAACGUUUGUAGAAUUUUGGAAAUUUUGAAAUUCAUUAGGCUUGAAUCCGUGUGUAAUUCAUGUUUUUGACAUUGUUUGAGGUGGUUUGAGGAUUCGGCUAAGUUCGUAUUGGGAUAUAAUACUUGUUGGCAUAUUUGGUUGAUGUCCGAGGGGCCUCGGGUUGAUUUCAGGUGGUUAAUGGACUUGGUUUUGAGUUGGGGAAAUUGCUAAAAUUGGUCUAUUGCUGGUGUAAUCGCACUUGCGAGGGUAUUAGCCGCAGGUGCGAUGCCGUAGGUGCGGAGGGAUUGGCACAGAUGCGGAACUGGGGGCUGUCCUGGGGCGAACACAGGUGCGAAGGAGAAUGCACGUCUAUGAUCCCGCAGAUGCGAGAAUGGCUCCGCAGAUGUGAGGGUUGAAGGCUUGGCUGCUUCCGCAGAAGCGGACAAAGGGCCGCAGAAGCGCCUCCGCGGGUGCGAGACCUGGAGCGCAGGUGCGAGCCCAUUGACUUUAGUGGUUUCCGUAGAAGCGGAGGUUCAACCGCAGAAGUGGUUCUGCAAGUGCGGAUAUGAGGCCGCAGGUACGAAAAGCCUGGGCAGAAUGUUUAAAAACAAGGGUUCACGAUUUUAGUCUCAUUUCAACAUUUUGGACUCGGACUUAGGCCAUUUUGAGAGGGCUUUCCAAGUGGAAUUCUUGAGAUAAGAUCCUUGUGUCCACUUUUCUUCAAUAAUUAUUUUUCCCUACUGAUUUUCCACCUAGAUGGUAUAUUUUUGAGGUGUAAUUUAGGGGUUUGAGGCUAGGGAUUUAGAAGGUGAACUUUGAGGAUUUGAAUGACCAUUUGGUGUCGGAUUUUGGUAAAUUUGGAAUGGUUAGACUCGUGAGUGAAUGGGCUUUCGAAUUUUAUGACUUUUUCGGAUUAUGAGGCGUGGGCCCGGGGGCGGGUUUGGGCCGAGUUCAGAUUUUGGCUAUAGUUUCGUAAUUUUCUUGUGGAAUUGAUUCCUUUAGCCUAUAUUGAUUGUAUUGUACUGCUUGUGGCUAGAUUCAGGACGUUUGGAGACCGAUUUGAGUGGCAAGGGCAUUUUGGAGUAGAGUUUAGCCCGGAUUGAGGUGAGUAACACUUUCAAACUUGGUUUUGAGGGUUCGAAACCCUGAAUUAUGUGUUAUGUGGGCGUGCACCGUGAGAAUUAUGACCUGGUUGACUCCAUGGCAUCGUAUAGUGGUUCUAUCUUGUUGAUAUCUGUGUUUUCAUCAUGUGAUAAAGUAAUUGAAUUAUCACUCAUGUUAGAUAUCAUGUUUAGGCUUUAUGCCGGUACUGUUGGGACCCAUGGUGGUCAUUUCUUGCUGUUGUAUUACUGAUUUCAUUGAUAUUUCGUACUCAGUUAUAUUCAUUUAUUUCAUAUCUCAUCUCAGUCUCUAUUGUUAUUUAUUGAUGCAUCAUAUCAUUGUUUCCGGGCUAGUAUCAUGACACUGUGAGCCUGUGGGAGAGAGACGGGAGAGAUUGAUGACUGAGUGAGGCCAAGUGCCUGAUUAUGAGUGACAUUUAUGGGAUAGGGUUGCAUGUCACAGUAGUUAUACUGAUUUAUGAUAGCGUUUGGGCUGAAGGAGCCCCUCCGGAGUCUGCACACACCCCCGGUGAGCGGGGUUGAUAUUAUUGAGGGAUGGAUCUUCCCUAGGCAUGGAUCUUGUCCGAAGCAUUUUAUACCUGGAGAUGGAUCUUCUCUACGGGCUGGAUUUUCCCUACUCGGUACUGGAUGACUGAUGGUCAGUGAUGUAUAUAUUUCGGGAUGGAUCUUUCCUGGGCCGUUUGGGCCAUAUACAGUACCGAAUGAUUAAGCAUUUGAGAGUGUGAGCACAUGAGGCUGUCAGCAUGGUGCAUUAUAUACAUCAUGUGCAUUGGCAUGGUAGAAGUAGAGGGGUUAUAUUUUUCAUAUCAUUUAGAUUGAUCAAUUUUACUGUUUUAAUAUAUCUAUCGAACAUGAGAGCAUGUCUACAUUUCUGCACUGUUAUUUUCUGUAUUGAGUUGUGCCGGUUGAGUUCGUCACUACUUUCAGCCCACAGUUUGGGUUUGUUAUGGUUGUACUCACGCUACACCCUGUACCUUGUGUGCAGAUCCAGGACUAUUAGUUACGGCAGCUGCUGGUUGAGGAGACAGGAUCUCGGGGACUAUCGAGGUAGCUGCAUGGCAUUCGCAGGCCUUGAAUCUCCCUCAUUAUCUUUAUAUGUACUUUAGUUUUUACUACUUAGACAUUGUAGUAGACUGUAUUCUGACAUAGAUGCUCAUGCACUCGGUGACACCCCAAUUUUUGGGGAGGGAUUCGUAUUGCGUUGUGGUUUUAUUUCGG
rnacentral:lncRNA from 1 species